rnacentral:rRNA from 1 species
AAUAUUGGACACUGGGCGCAAGCCUGUUCCAGCCAUGCCGUGUGUGUGAAUAAGGUCUUCGGAUUGUAAAUCACUUUACUUUGGGAGGAAGGGCAGUUAACGAAUCCUUAACUGUUUUGACGGUACCAAAAGAAUAAGCAUUGGCUAACUUCGUGCCAUCAGCUGCGGUAAUACGAAGGGUGCAAGCGUUAAUCGGAAUUACUGGGCGUAAAGAGCGCGUAGGUGGUUCGUUAAGUUGGAAGUGAAAGCCCCGGGCUCAACCUGGGAAUUGCUUUCAAAACUGGCGAGCUAGAGUACGGUAGAGGGUGGUGGAAUUUCCUGUGUAGCGGUGAAAUGCGUAGAUAUAGGAAGGAACAUCAGUGGCGAAGGCGACCACCUGGACUGAUACUGACACUGAGGUGCGAAAGCGUGGGGAGCAAACAGG